AGUGAGACUGAUAACACUCGUAAGGCAGAUUCCCUUGAUGAAAGAACUCAAGACCAAAGAAGCUGUCCCUGUUCAAAACCAAGCAGCCGCACAAAAGGUUCUUAAAAAAAUGAGUCAUCAAAACCGGGAUGACAUGCAUUCAAGAGGCAGACAGUUUGGGGGAAAGAGGAGGAUUACUUGACUUUAUCAUUUCUUUUAUUCUCAUCACGCUUUACUCUGUUAGAAGGGCACAACAUGGGCUGGGGUUUGAUCUUAACAGGAACAGCUCUACAAUGUUACAAACAACUUCCGUCUGCAGUUUUGUGCGAA